GAUCAUGGCUCAGGAUGAACGCUAGCUACAGGCUUAACACAUGCAAGUCGAGGGGUAGCAGGGUAGCAAUACCGCCGACGACCGGCGCACGGGUGAGUAACACGUAUCCAACCUUCCCAUAACUCAGGGAUAGCCUUUCGAAAGAAAGAUUAAUACCUGAUAGUACUUUUUCAAGGCAUCUUAGAAAAAAGUUAAAGAUUUAUCGGUUAUGGAUGGGGAUGCGUUCCAUUAGAUAGUUGGUGAGGUAACGGCUCACCAAGUCUUCGAUGGAUAGGGGUUCUGAGAGGAAGGUCCCCCACAUUGGUACUGAGACACGGACCAAACUCCUACGGGAGGCAGCAGUGAGGAAUAUUGGUCAAUGGGCGAGAGCCUGAACCAGCCAAGUAGCGUGAAAAGGAUGAAGGUCCUAUGGAUUGUAAACUUCUUUUAUAGUAGAAUAAAGUGAGCCACGUGUGGUUUUUUGUAUGUAUACUAUGAAUAAGGAUCGGCUAACUCCGUGCCAGCCGCCGC
rnacentral:rRNA from 1 species